rnacentral:pre_miRNA from 1 species
GUGUAUAUACACAUAUAUGCGUAUAUGUGUAUAUACGUAUACACACAUAUAUGCGUAUAUGUGUAUAUACGUA